UUGUUGCUAGUUGGUGGGUGUGUGGGGAGAAGGAGAUCCAGGGUUUCUCGCUCCAGAAAUACCAUCUUUCUUCGUGUACCUUGACCAAGUCAGCCAGCUCCUGGAGUGAGGCCCAGGUGCUCGUGGUGGACUUUUAUCCCCGCUGGCCACCUAGCUCCAGGGACCACCCCCUGCUGGUGCUGUGGCCGUCCCGGAAGCUCAGCUAGUUCCUCGCAAAGCAGCUCUGCCUCUCGACGGGUCCAGUUUUGGCGAUCCCACUUGUGAUUUAUCAUUUCUGAGCGCUGGUGCAGUCAUUCUGUGACGGGCUCGUUCAUUCACCCGGUAUUACAGGUGACUGCGUGCCAGACUGUUCUAGGCGAGGGGGACCCAGACGAGGUCCCUGCGCCCGGUGACCUUACGGGCUGGUGGGAGGAAACAAAAAGUAACCUUUCCGCUGGAAAAGAGCCAGGAAGCAACAUAAAGUGGAGUCAGCGGACGGAGGAGGAGGAAGGACGGCAAAGGCCCCUGAGCGAAGGACUGCAUGUCAAACAACACUGACACGAAAGUGCUAAUGCGGGGAGGUAACUUCUCACCUGUCACCGUCUCCAGAACCUCCUGCCCCGUGCUCACCUCGGCCAGGACCUUGCCGUCUCUUCCUCUGAGAAAAUAGAAGACGUUUUCCACAAAGUCUCAUGACCUCAUCUAUGACCUCACGGGUGUGUGUUCUGCCUUUCUUCCUAGUUACCGUGGGUAAUUUGCUCAUCCUCUCAUCUGGGGCUAGCCUCGGGAAUAUUGCCGUCUCCUUCAGGUUACCAGGGUCUCUCUUCUGCGUGUUAAAAACAAAAGACCUUUAUUCCCACAAGCUCUUCAAAGACUUGUCUAUUGUUAUUGUGUCCGUCCGUCCUCUGUCCGUUCUUCCAGGGGGCCUCCUCUUCCAUCCAUCUUUCUGAUGAGCUCUGUCGUUCCAUUCAAACAGUGUCUGUCAAGGUCGCAAUGACCUUUUCAUUGAUGAAUUGAGGAUCCAUUUUCAUUCCUCACCUUACUUGUCUUAUCGAUGACAUUUGGCACAGACAUUUCCUCCUUCUUGAAACAUUUUCUUAUGGCUUCAGGGACACCUCUCUCAUUUGGUCUCUUCCUAUUUCACUGGCUACUUCUUCCCAGUCAUCUUCGUUGGGUACUUCUGUCCCUGGGUCUCUAAAUCCUGGAAAGCCUAGGAUCAUUCCUAGGAGCCUAGGAGCUCAGUCCUAGGAUCGUUUCUCUCCUUGGGCCACACUGAAACUCACUUACUCGCGAUGGUUUCAAUUCCCAUGUCUCCUGGGGCCCCUGGGUGGCUCAGUCGGUUAAGCGGCUGACUUCGGCUCAGGUCAUGAUUUCACAGUCCGUGAGUUCGAGCCCCGCAUCGGGCUCUGUGCUGACAGCUCAGAGCCUGGAGCCUGUUUCAGAUUCUGUGUCUCCCUCUCUCUGACCCUCCCCUGUUCAUGCUCUGUCUCUCUCUC